CCCCUAGAUGUUCUGGGCCGCACGCGCGCUACACUGAACAGUUCAACAAGUCUUAACCUUGGCCGAUAGGUCUGGGUAAUCUUUGAACGCUGUUCGUGAUUGGGAUAGACCUUUGCAAUUAUGGGUCUUCAACGAGGAAUUCCUAGUAAACGCAAGUCAUCAGCUUGCAUUGAUUACGUCCCUGCCCUUUGUACACACCGCCCGUCGCACCUACCGAUUGAACGGUCCGGUGAAAUCUCGGGACGGCGGCUUGGUCGCUUGCGUCCGACUGCUGAAACUUGAUUAAACCAUAUCAUUUAGAGGAAGGUGAANUCGUAACA
rnacentral:rRNA from 1 species